AAUUUUGGACAAUGGGGGCAACCCUGAUCCAGCCAUCCCGCGUGUGCGAUGAAGGCCNNNGGGUUNUAAAGUACUUUUGGCAGNGACNAAAAGGCGCCGGUUAAUAUCUGGCGCCGCUGACGUUACCUGCAGAAUAAGCACCGGCUAACUACGCGCCAGCAGCCGCGGUAACACGUAGGGUGCAAGCGUGAAUCGGAAUUAGUGGGCGUAGAGCGUGCGUGGGGGGUUUGGCAAGAAAGAUGUGAAAUCCCAGGGCUUAACCUUGGAACUGCAUUUUUAACUGACAGGCUAGAGUAUGUCAGAGGGGGGUAGAAUUCCACGUGUAGCAGUGAAAUGCGUAGAGAUGUGGAGGAAUACCGAUGGCGAGGGCAGCCCCCUGGGAUAAUACUGACGCUCAGGCACGAAAGCGUGGGGAGCAAACA
rnacentral:rRNA from 1 species